rnacentral:rRNA from 1 species
AUGAACGCUAGCGGGAGGCCUAACACAUGCAAGCCGAGCGGUAGAGAUCUUUCGGGAUCUUGAGAGCGGCGUACGGGUGCGGAACACGUGCGCAACCUGCCUUUAUCAGGGGGAUAGCCUUUCGAAAGGAAGAUUAAUACCCCAUAAUAUAAGAAACGGCAUCGUUUUUUAUUGAAAACUCCGGUGGAUAGAGAUGGGCACGCGCAAGAUUAGAUAGUUGGUGAGGUAACGGCUCACCAAGUCUACGAUCUUUAGGGGGCCUGAGAGGGUGAUCCCCCACACUGGUACUGAGACACGGACCAGACUCCUACGGGAGGCAGCAGUGAGGAAUAUUGGACAAUGGGUGCGAGCCUGAUCCAGCCAUCCCGCGUGAAGGACGACGGCCCUAUGGGUUGUAAACUUCUUUUGUAUAGGGAUAAACCUACCCUCGUGAGGGUAGCUGAAGGUACUAUACGAAUAAGCACCGGCUAACUCCGUGCCAGCCGCCGCAGUAACAC